rnacentral:rRNA from 1 species
GACGAACGCUGGCGGCGUGCUUAACACAUGCAAGUCGAACGGAAAGGCCCUGCUUUUGUGGGGUGCUCGAGUGGCGAACGGGUGAGUAACACGUGAGUAACCUGCCCUUGACUUUGGGAUAACGUCAGGAAACUGGGGCUAAUACCGGAUAGGAGCUCCUGCUGCAUGGUGGGGGUUGGAAAGUUUCGGCGGUUGGGGAUGGACUCGCGGCUUAUCAGCUUGUUGGUGGGGUAGUGGCUUACCAAGGCUUUGACGGGUAGCCGGCCUGAGGGGGUGACCGGCCACAUUGGGACUGAGAUACGGCCCAGACUCCUACGGGAGGCAGCAGUGGGGAAUAGUGCACAAUGGGCGGAAGCCUGAUGCAGCAACGCCGCGUGCGGGAUGACGGCCUUCGGGUUGUAAACCGCUUUCGCCUGUGACGAAGCGUGAGUGACGGUAAUGGGUAAAGAAGCACCGGCUAACUACGUG